GAUGAAGACCGUAGCGAAAUGCGAUAAGUAAUGUGAAUUGCAGAAUUCAGUGAAUCAUCGAAUCUUUGAACGCACAUUGCGCCCGCCAGUAUUCUGGCGGGCAUGCCUGUUCGAGCGUCAUUUCAACCAUCAAGCCCCCGGCUUGUGUUGGGGACCUGCGGCUGCCGCAGGCCCUGAAAAGCAGUGGCGGGCUCGCUGUCACACCGAGCGUAGUAGCAUACAUCUCGCUCUGGGCGUGCUGCGGGUUCCGGCCGUUAAACCACCUUCAUAACCCAAGGUUGACCUCGGAUCAGGUAGGAAGACCCGCUGAACUUAAGCAUAUCAAUAAGCGGAGGA
rnacentral:misc_RNA from 1 species